rnacentral:rRNA from 1 species
UAUGGAUUAUAGUGAAUACCAGGUUAUUAUUAGUUAAGGUCUUGAAAAUUAAAGAAUUUGGCGGUGUUUUAGUCUGUUCAGAGGAACCUGUUGUGUAAUUGAUGUUCCACGAUAAAUUUUACUUUUUUUAUUAGUUUGUAUAUCGUCGUUAUUGAAUAUUCUUUUAGGAUAUAAUAUUCAUUAUUUCUUUUAGAAAGAAAAUCAGAUCAAGAUGCAGUUUAUAAAAAAGAAUUAAUGGGUUACAAUAAUUUUAUUUAAAUGGAUAAAAGUUUGAAAAGUUUUUUGAAGGUGGAUUUGAUAGUAAUUAAUUUUAUUUAAUUUUAAUGAUUAAGCUCUAAAACAUGU